UGAAUGGCUAAGAAUUCAACGGUCAAGAUGAUUGAUGCACAUCAGCUGUCGUGCACCUGUGCAGCACCAUCCCCCACAAAACAAAACCCUCACAAAGCCCUCGCCAGAGAAGCCACACUCUUGGCAACAGUAACUCAGAAAAUGGCUUGGCGCUCAGCUGGUUCGUUGUCUCGGUCAUUGGUUUCUACGGCUAGGGUUUCGUCGCUCCGUUCGGCGCCACCUCUCCGUCGUCUCCGUCCACCGACUGUCUCCACUCCUCGUCGCCUCGCAUUCGCUUCUCCCAGGAACUUGGGAGAACUGGGCUGCAUACAAUCGCUUUUGCCAAUGCACAGUGUGACGGCUGCAACUUGCCUCACAUCUCAUCUGGCUGUCAAUGCGCGUGGUUGUUGCGAGUUGUCACACGGUACCUUCUGCCGUACUUGUCAGGAUCGCUAGUAGUCUCUUUGGAGGAACAGAAAAGACGGGUGAUGCGCACAGACUUCCAAUCAUCCAAAGGCAGGAGAAUGAUGCAUCGUUGGACUUGAAAAGACAUUUGGAUCAGCAUAGUUGAGUGCAACUAUAUAUUGGGGUUGAUCGUAGAGUUUGGCUGUAUCCUGUAGGAAUGAGUGCUUUUGGAUUAGGAUCCUUUUAUAUUUUGUUCUUAAUAAGAAACUUGAUAGUUCAUCUGAUAUCUGUAAUGACCUUUAGGAUGAAGGUUUAUAGGUGUUUGAACUUCAGUGCUUAUUCUUGAAUCUUGGUCAAUUUCUGUGUCUUGUGAGUUGUGAUUAAUUGUUUCAAGGGUCUCUGUUGAUUAUAACAUUAUGUUAGUUUUUUCUCUUUUGAAUAAUAAUGUCAGUUGUUCUAAAUUUGCAGCA